rnacentral:rRNA from 1 species
CAAUUANCAUAGUGGCAAACGGGUGAGUAACGCGUAAGUAACCUACCUCUAAGUGGGGGAUAGCUUCGGGAAACUGAAGGUAAUACCGCAUGUGAUGGGCUGACAUAAGUCGGUUCAUUAAAGCCGCAAGGUGCUUGGUGAGGGGCUUGCGUCCGAUUAGCUAGUUGGUGGGGUAAUGGCCUACCAAGGCUUCGAUCGGUAGCUGGUCUGAGAGGAUGAUCAGCCACACUGGGACUGAGACACGGCCCAGACUCCUACGGGAGGCAGCAGCAAGGAAUCUUGGGCAAUGGGCGAAAGCCUGACCCAGCAACGCCGCGUGAGGGAUGAAGGCUUUCGGGUUGUAAACCUCUUUUCACAGGGAAGAAUAAUGACGGUACCUGUGGAAUAAGCUUCGGCUAACUACGUGCCAGCAGCCGCGGUAAUACGUAGGAAGCAAGCGUUAUCCGGAUUUAUUGGGCGUAAAGUGAGCGUAGGUGGUCUUUCAAGUUGGAUGUGAAAUUUCCCGGCUUAACCGGGACGUGUCAUUCAAUACUGUUGGACUAGAGUACAGCAGGAGAAAACGGAAUUCCCGGUGUAGUGGUAAAAUGCGUAGAUAUCGGGAGGAACACCAGAGGCGAAGGCGGGUUUCUAGGUUGUCACUUGACACUUGAGGCUCGAAAGCGUGGGGGAGCGAACAAGAAUUAGA